CCGUACACAAAAGCGCAUGUGCUGUGAGCUCGAUGAGUAGGGCGGGACACGUGGUAUCCUGUCUGAAUAUGGGGGGACCAUCCUCCAAGGCUAAAUACUCCUGACUGACCGAUAGUGAACCAGUACCGUGAGGGAAAGGCGAAAAGAACCCCGGCGAGGGGAGUGAAAAAGAACCUGAAACCGUGUACGUACAAGCAGUGGGAGCACAGGUUUACCUGUGUGACUGCGUACCUUUUGUAUAAUGGGUCAGCGACUUAUAUUCUGUAGCAAGGUUAACCGUAUAGGGGAGCCGGAGGGAAACCGAGUCUUAAUUGGGCGUUAAGUUGCAGGGUAUAGACCCGAAACCCGGUGAUCUAGCCAUGGGCAGGUUGAAGGUUGGGUAACACUAACUGGAGGACCGAACCGACUAAUGUUGAAAAAUUAGCGGAUGACCUGUGGCUGGGGGUGAAAGGCCAAUCAAACCGGGAGAUAGCUGGUUCUCCCCGAAAGCUAUUUAGGUAGCGCCUCGUGAAUUCAUCUCCGGGGGUAGAGCACUGUUUCGGCUAGGGGGCCAUCCCGGCUUACCAACCCGAUGCAAACUGCGAAUACCGGAGAAUGUUAUCACGGGAGACACACGGCGGGUGCUAACGUCCGUCGUGAAGAGGGAAACAACCCAGACCGCCAGCUAAGGUCCCAAAGUCAUGGUUAAGUGGGAAACGAUGUGGGAAGGCCCAGACAGCCAGGAUGUUGGCUUAGAAGCAGCCAUCAUUUAAAGAAAGCGUAAUAGCUCACUGGUCGAGUCGGCCUGCGCGGAAGAUGUAACGGGGCUAAACCAUGCACCGAAGCUGCGGCAGCGAACGUAUCACCCAAGACAACUUUACGGAGUUGACGAUUGACGGAGCGAAGCGACGUCAAAGCGUUCAUUAAAGUCGAGUUGGCUUAGGGAUACGUUCGUUGGGUAGGGGAGCGUUCUGUAAGCCUGUGAAGGUGUGUCGUGAGGCAUGCUGGAGGUAUCAGAAGUGCGAAUGCUGACAUAAGUAACGAUAAAGCGGGUGAAAAGCCCGCUCGCCGGAAGACCAAGGGUUCCUGUCCAACGUUAAUCGGGGCAGGGUGAGUCGACCCCUAAGGCGAGGCCGAAAGGCGUAGUCGAUGGGAAACGGGUUAAUAUUCCCGUACUUGGUGUUACUGCGAAGGGGGGACGGAGAAGGCUAUGUUGGCCGGGCGACGGUUGUCCCGGUUUAAGCGUGUAGGUGUGUGUUCCAGGUAAAUCCGGUU
rnacentral:rRNA from 2 species